rnacentral:rRNA from 1 species
GAUGAACGCUGGCGGCGUGCCUAAUACAUGCAAGUCGAGCGAACAGACGAGGAGCUUGCUCCUCUGACGUUAGCGGCGGACGGGUGAGUAACACGUGGAUAACCUACCUAUAAGACUGGGAUAACUUCGGGAAACCGGAGCUAAUACCGGAUAAUAUAUUGAACCGCAUGGUUCAAUAGUGAAAGACGGUUUUGCUGUCACUUAUAGAUGGAUCCGCGCCGCAUUAGCUAGUUGGUAAGGUAACGGCUUACCAAGGCAACGAUGCGUAGCCGACCUGAGAGGGUGAUCGGCCACACUGGAACUGAGACACGGUCCAGACUCCUACGGGAGGCAGCAGUAGGGAAUCUGCCGCAAUGGGCGAAAGCCUGACGGAGCAACGCCGCGUGAGUGAUGAAGGUCUUCGGAUCGUAAAACUCUGUUAUUAGGGAAGAACAAAUGUGUAAGUAACUAUGCACGUCUUGACGGUACCUAAUCAGAAAGCCACGGCUAACUACG